AACCUGGGCUCACCUGUCUCCGCCCCCCAGGUCCGGACCCUCCGUAUGCACCUGUUCACGGCCCUGCAGCUGCUCUGCCUGGCCCUGCUCUGGGCCGUCAUGUCCACAGCUGCCUCCCUGGCCUUCCCCUUCAUCCUCAUCCUCACAGUGCCGCUCCGCAUGGUGGUGCUCACCCGUAUCUUCACCGACCGAGAGAUGAAAUGUCUGGAUGCUAACGAGGCAGAGCCGGUGUUUGAUGAGCGGGAGGGUGUGGAUGAGUACAAUGAGAUGCCCAUGCCUGUGUAGCCGCCACCGAGGGACAGCCGAGGGACCGAUGGACGAGGGGACAGGCUGGUGGGAUGGGGUUCCCCCUCCCAUGCCCCUCCCUCCUUUUUAUUUAAGUGAAUAAUUUAAAGUCCUCUCCUCCCCCACUGCCCCUGCAGUAAAGUGCUUUGGCCCCCAC
rnacentral:sRNA from 1 species